ACUGAAGAGAGUAUGUUAAGCAUUGGUGUGAUGGGAGAGGUUCACAUUGGCCUGACCGUACAAGGCCGUACAAGGCCGUACGGUCCGUACACAUUCAGACAAGUGAAACCUUUCAUCCGGGUGAUUCUGAAAUGGAAAGCAACUGUUGAGAAGAGUUGAGUAUACAAGUGUGAAGUACAAAGGGGUUAAGACUGAAGAGAGUGUGUUAAGCAUUGGUGUGAUGGGAGAGGUUCACAGUGGCCUGACCGUACAAGGCCGUACAAGGCCGUACGGUCCGUACACAUUCAGACCAGUGAAACCAUGACCGCGGUUACAAGGAGUUACCCGAGUAACUUAUGGGAAGAGAAGGGGCUUUGGCUGAUGAAUCAGACCGUUGGAGGAUAAGAGAGGCGCGGCUUUAC
rnacentral:lncRNA from 1 species